rnacentral:lncRNA from 1 species
UUUAUAGGUCUUAUGACUGUAUCUGAUAUUCAAACAGGUCUCACUGAGUAUAUAAAAGGAAAAUUCCUUUUAUGGGUCGAUUUAGCGAACCUAAGUAAGGCUGCAUGGAUUUUCUUUUUAAUUUUCCCCUGCUUCCAUUUCAGAGGUCCUGUUGCUACCUGCCCAGUCCUUUUUCUUAAGCUCUUACUCCUCUGA